GGUCUUUAACCCUCAGUUCAUGUAGAGUUCCAGGUUCCUUUGUUCAGAUGCAGAACUGUUUGGGAUGUUCUUUAACUUCUAUCUGCCCGAAACCGUCAGAUUUGUUUACCUGCUUCGACACUUGGUGCAUCCAUGGAGUUUCGUCUUUGUGUGGAAAUUACUCAGCCUCGGACCAAGUUCACGUCUCAUCUUUCAAGUUGACUGAUGAGUUGGUGAGGACUGUCUAUGUCUGCUGUAUUCCUCAGAGCAUCAUCUGACGUGUCCUUGAGGAAGACGUGGUUGAAACAUGUCAGGAAGG